CUGGACUAGCUAUGUGUUUUGCUUUUGUGUAUAACUUGAUUUUCUCACAUGUGACACUUGACUAGAAAUAGCAUUAUACAGCCAAUUGGUUUACUAGUGGAUAAUUAGUUGGGAGCAUUUUUUUUGCUUUACUGAGUAUUCAGUUUCUCCCCUUCUAUGUUUUUGCAAUAAUUAGUUGCUUCCUUGAGGAUACUCAUAUUUUUUUUUGAACUAUUAGUUGCAGGACUAGUAGUUGCUUGAUACAAUAGAUGUUGCAAACCCUUCUUCAAUGGCAGCAGCAACAUUGAGAUCAGUAGUCGAAUUCAUCCAUCUGCAUCGUAAUAGGAAUAAAGUUAAUAUUAAAUUGUCCAAAAUUCAGAACUGAGCAUCUUCUUCUUUUUAUAUCUAGACAAUUUCACGGUUUCUACUUUUGUUAUUGUAAGAUCAGGGGGGGUGAACUUUUGUUGUUCUUGCACAAGUUCUGUCGGCUGCAGAGGCGAUGUGUACUGCAAAUGGAAGGAAGAGGAUGUACUGCGAAUGGAAGGAAGAGGAAGCAAGAUUGACUACUAGGAUUAAUCCAUCACUCUUUUCCCCGCAAGCCAAGAACA
rnacentral:lncRNA from 1 species